AUAUGCAAACCAGUGGAGGAAUUUAUCAUGGUGAUUUUUUUCUGGUUUGAGAAUCCAUGCCUUUUCCGAUUGUUAAGGUGGUGGUAUAUAUCCACUAAAGUUUAUGAACUACUGUGUGCAGUUCCGAAAUUCUGACUAAAUGUUCUACUUGCCUCUUAUUGAUAUGAUACUUUGCCAGUCUCACAUUGAUCUACAAAGUAUGAUCCCUAGGUUGAUCAUUGGUAGUUCUGCUACAUUUAAGAGUAGCAAAUGAAUUAAUAUGUACUAUUAUUUGUUUAUAUUUUAUUCUAAUUGCUUUAUCAUAAUAAAUGACUAAUAAUUCAUUAAUAAUAUUUAAUAAGUGGAUGGAAUAAACGUGACAAAUUAUCACAGGGAGCUUCAUAGAAAGUCAGCUCUCAUAAUUAAGGCUAUCACCAGAAUGCAUUUGGGCCAGAAAUGUGGUUUGCUGAUGUUAUUCUAUCCAAGUCACCACUUUAAAAAAUAGUAACAGGAAUUCUGCUAGAAGAUGAAAAGUAUUUUUACAAUACUUUUGGAAAUUUGGAAUUAAUAUAUUUUAAAAUAAGCAAAUUCAUUAAAUAUAAAAAGAAGGUAAAAUAUGUGAAUAUUAUGUGUCAGGAGAGGAAAACAUGAAUUUUGAGAUACGGUGGGUAAUUGUUUCUAAUUGCUUUCUCAGAUGCAAAGAGAACACCACAACUAAUAAUAUAACCAAAGUGAGGAUGAUGGAAGAGAAAAAACUUUACUACUCCAAGAACAUAAGCUACAUAUGAACUUGGAAGAAAAUUUUUAGUCCCAUUGAUUAAGAAAUAAAUUAGUCAAAACAUACAGGCAUAUUUGCAAGUAAAUAAAGACAUUUUCAUCGGCUUCCUCACUGCAUAGCCAACCUUCCCUAACCAUUCCUGGCCACUCUGUGGUUUAAGGACUGCAUUUAUGGAGGUAGAGGAGGAUAUUGAAAAAGAAAAAAGAAAUGUUUCAAGAGGCAGGAAAUAUAAGCUUAAUGUGAUCACAGAGAAGCUAAUCAUCAAGUUUAAAUUGGGAUUUUAAGUAAGCAAAAGCCACAAAAUUAAGAGAAUAUCUCCUUAAGGCUCAUGAUUUUACUUGUUGGCAUCCUGACACAUAGCAAUAUUAAUAUUUUCCUGGACAUAUGGCUAAGAGAUUCUUGAGGGUUUUUUUAAUCUUAAUGCAAAUUAGUUGUGAGAAUGAGUCCAAUGUAGAUUGUGGUUUCCUUCACAUAUAACUCAGGUUGGAUAAAAUAAUUUGUACAAAUCAGGAGAGUCAAAUUUCAGAAACUACUAUCUGCCUCAAUUGAACUCCAUCUUCUGACACCAUGUGCUACUACCACAACUAUUAUGGUAGCCUGGACUAUGGUUGCAGCUAUGGCUCUGAAUAUGGUAACUCUGGAUAUGCCUGCAACUUUCCGUGCUCCUAUGGAAGAUUCCUAUUGGCUCCUAGAAAGAAAUUCUGAUUGCUGAUCACUUUGAGCCAUUUUCUUGUGAUGCACUAAUUGCAUCAACAGGGUUAUUUAUGGAUUCGUUAUUGUCUCUCCAAUUUUAACUAACUCUAAUUAUUGAUUACCACAGGUCAUAUUUGCAUUGGAUUAGUGGAAUUUCCUACCAGUUAGUGGGAAAAUCCUUUGAUAUUUUGUUAGUUUUAUGUGUUUAUGUCUGUUAUAAUAUUAACAAUUUCCAUGCAGGAAAACUUAUAAAUUUGCAUUUUAAUAAAUAUAAUCACUUUCACAAUAUGUAUUGCUUAUCAUAUAUAUUCAUUUCUCUUUAUCAUUUGUGUAUUUGUGUGUGUGUGUGUGUGUGUGUGUGUGUGUGAAAGAGAGAGAGAGAGAGAAAGGGAGAAAUAGAAAGAGAGAGUGAAAUUGCUACCUGUGGCUAUUUUAGUCAGUGAUGUGACAAAACAGGCAACUCAUGACUGAUGUUUUUCCAAAAAUGUUUGUAUAAAAGUAAUUUCAAGUUCAGUUUCAAGAAUACUGUUCUCUAUAUUGAUCUAAUGCAAGUUUCAUUUUAGAAAAAUUCAAUGUUUGACCUAGGUAAUUGGCAAAACCAGUAGCACUAUUACCCACCAAGCUAUUUUCUACUGCAAUUUUCUCUCUCCUAAUAGUCUACAUUUAAACAUGUGCUUCUGUACUGAUACAACUCCAGCCCUGCAUUGAGUACUCUGACCUCUUUUCACUCACUCUUAUAGAUAAGAAUCCUCUAUAUGAAGCUGGUUGGUAUGCCUGAUAAUCCUGUGUUUCCACAGCAAAGAUCACCUCAUUUAGAGAUCUAAGUGACUCUUUUGAGUUUUUCUAACUCUGAUCAUCUUCUAGCAGAAUUCCUGUUACUAUUUUUUAAAGUGGUGACUUGGAUAGAAUAACAUCUUGCAAACCACAUUUCUGGCCCAAAUGCAUUCUGGUGAUAGGUCUUAAUUAUGAGAGCUGACUUUCUAUGAAACUCCCUGUGAUAAUUUAUCAUGUUUAUUCCAUCCACUUAUUAAAUAUUAUUAAUGAUUAGUCAUUAAUUAUGAUAAAGCAAUCAGAAUAAAAUAUAAACAGAUAAUAGUACAUAUUAAUUCAUUUGCUACUCUUAAAUGUAGCAGAACUACCAACGAUCAACGUAGGGAUCACACUUUAUAGAUCAAUAUGAGACUAGUGAAGUAUCUCCCAGCCCCCAAGUGCAGGCUUUCUGAAAGCAAACGGAAGUGAAAAUACUGUAUUGCUGUCUAUUCCUUCCUCCCUGGAGUGAAAAAGUCAAUCCAUUAGCAGUUCCAACCCAACUUGCCCAACCAGUGACUGGGCAGAGAAGUUGGUGAUCAUUCCUCUGGUGAAAAAUGAAAAUAAGAGGGAAGUGAUUCCAUUUUUACUAAGAUAUAGGUUGGGGCUCUGCUCAUUAUUUGCAUAAAUUAUCCCAUUUAAUGGAUUAACAAAUUUAAAGGUUAAACAUUUUAAUUUCUAUUGCAGUCAUGCCAAAUUAAAUCAACUUUUAGAAAGGUAAAGCUGAAAGAUUCUUGGUGAGAUUGUGCAGGAUUGAAAAUUUGUGUUUAGUCCUGUACACAGUUCUGAUUCUCAAUACAAGUUAGUGCUCUAGAAUGACGGAGGUUGCUAUAUUUUGUAUAGUAUUU
rnacentral:lncRNA from 1 species